UUCGGACAGAUUAUUCAUCUGGCAGGCGAGGACGAUGACGGCAUUGGCGCUAAAUUUAACAGCACUAACCUCUUCAGCAUCGGAGGCAAACUCUUCAGUAAAGCGGAAGUACGCAUUGACGAUUUCUGGAAAGUCGUCGGGACAGACACCGCUGAGAAAGACAAUAGUCUAGAUACAAAAUGGAGAGCCUUUAAUCCCCAAACUAUAGUGCGCAACGCAAGGGAGAGAAUCGGGGAAAUAGGAUACAACAUUAUCUCAGCCAACUGUGAACACUUUACGAACUGGUGCAGGUAUGGACAAUGCAAAAGUGAACAGGUAGAUAAUGUGCUGACCGGCGUUGCAGUGGGUGCAGGGAUAGCGCUGGGUGCCUUUGCCAUCUACGCUUUGUCUAAACUCGCCAAUGCCAAAGAUGAAGAAGAAGAAGAAGAGAAUUACUAAAGAGGACGCCAGACGCGAAACAGUUUUAUUUAAGAACAAGCUAGACUUCUAAAUCUGGACACACAUAUGUACUAAACAUUUCUGAAUUUGAAACAAAAAUUUUUUUUGUAGUUAUUGUUAUUAAAAAUUAAAAGUUUUAGCGACCAAACAAAA
rnacentral:sRNA from 1 species